GAUGAACGCUAGCUACAGGCUUAACACAUGCAAGUCGAGGGGCAUCAGUUUGGUUUGCUUGCAAACCAAAGCUGGCGACCGGCGCACGGGUGAGUAACACGUAUCCAACCUGCCUCAUACUCGGGGAUAGCCUUUCGAAAGAAAGAUUAAUAUCCGAUAGCAUAUAUUUCCCGCAUGGGUUUAUAUUAAAGAAAUUCGGUAUGAGAUGGGGAUGCGUUCCAUUAGUUUGUUGGGGGGUAACGGCCCACCAAGACUACGAUGGAUAGGGGUUCUGAGAGGAAGGUCCCCCACAUUGGAACUGAGACACGGUCCAA
rnacentral:rRNA from 1 species